rnacentral:lncRNA from 10 species
GACUCGGGUCGUGGCUGACGACCCGACGGUUCGCCUGCGGCCGCCUCCAACAACGGUGGAAACCGCACACAGGGACCGCGGGCCCUCGGUGCAGCAAAUCGGAAAGUGCUGCGGUCGGCGGCCCUGGGCUCUGAGCGCUCAAGCGAGCAGAGGGGUGGAGGGGCUCUCCCCACCCACAGGAGGCUCUCGGCGGGGCGCAGCCAAUUCUGCGCGCCCAAGGCUCCCCUCUGCCGUGGAUCGCGUGUGCCGAGUGUUGGCCUCUUCCCCGAAAGGGCCAGACGGACCAAGGGGGCCUUCCCAGCCGGCUGCAAGCUCUCAGACGCUAAAAUGGGAACAAAGCUUCCAGAAAGGCAGCGCCUUUGGGCGGCCGCGCCCCGCCCAGCCGCGGGGGCCAUUGAUACAGAGGCUUGCUGCGCUUGGUGUGCGCGGCCCGGCCGGGCCUCUGGAAACGCCCAUGAGAAAUGAGCUCAUGCUGGAUGCGCGCGCUCCUUGGGCGCAACUGCCCAGCGCAAAACGGGCCCCGAAAGCAGGUGAGGGGAAAUGCCGUCAGGCCGGAUAUCCUGAAGCCUCCGAGGAAAUGGGGGGGUCAGAGGAGCCCGUGGUAGCUUUGGAUCUUUUGGAACUAGGGUGAUCUAUAAAAGUGCAGCUUGAGAAGAUUUCAUACAUAAGACCAGCGUCCAUUGUUCUACCAUAGAACCAGUUCCUUUGGUCUGCUUUAGAACAGUGAGGUAUGGCUACGUCAAGAUAACAGAGAAAGUAGAACAGACAGUUGCCAUCCUGAUUGUAAUCCAGUGGUGCCUGUAAUUUCUACCUGCAGAGUCAUCUCUUUCUGUUAAGAUGCUGUCUCCAGAAAGCACAUGUUAAAGGACCUAUAUUUGAUCAGAUUACCUGGCUCUUGCUUUGAAACACUGAUGAAGGACUUGGGACAGAACAAAGUGAGUGGAGGACACUUCAAUCUAAAGUGAUCUUAAAGGAGGAGUAGUAGGAUUUGAAGAUGAAGAAAGAAGAGGGGAGGUAAAUUACUUUCCAUCACUUCAAUUUCAACCCAUCAGAUAAAACCUCUCUUUAGUAAACCUGCAUGUGGGUGGAGCUGUAACAGCAAUUAAGGACAGUGUGACUCUGUUCUUCUGACUUUGGGAAAACCAGUUUGGCUGGAACAAAAAGCUGAUAGAGAAGACUAAUGGAAGAUAAGGUUGAAAAGGUUAAAAAAUGGAGGCAACAGCUGGGUACAGUGGCUCACUCCUGUAAUUCCAGCACUUUAGGAGGCCAAGGUAGGCAGAUCACUUGAGAAAAAGAGUUCGAGACCAGCCUGGGCAACAUAGUGAGACCCUCUCUCUCAAAAAAAAUAGCCAAGUGUGAUGAUGGACACCUGUAACCCCAACUACUUCAGAGACUGAGGCAGGAGGAUCACUUGAGCCUAGGAGGUCAAGGCUGCAGUGAGCUGUGAUUGGGCCACUGCACUCCAGCCUGGGUGACACAGAGAGACCUCUCUAAAAAAUAAAAAAAUAAAAAAAAUGGAAGCACAGAAAACUAUACCUUUUCUAGCUCAACUUUACCACAUUGAUGAAAAAGUAUUGAGCAGCCACAGGUACAUGACAUUCCACUAUGUUCUUGGGAUAAUAUUAAAGAAAAGGCAUGAAGGUAUGCUCUGAGCAGGCAAGAGAAGUCACAUAAAAUGAGAGUAAUUUAUAAUGUGAUUUUUUC